AAGCAAAGAAGUAAAAUUUACACUUAGUUUCGACCUAAAUAUAGAGAAUUAAACUCCGUGCUUU
rnacentral:tRNA from 1 species